GGGUUAAGUCCCGCAACGAGCGCAACCCCUGCUGCCAGUUGCCAACGGGUGAAGCCGGGCACUCUGGCGGGACUGCCAUCGACAAGAUGGAGGAAGGUGGGGAUGACGUCAAGUCAUCAUGGCCCUUAUGUCCAGGGCGACACACGUGCUACAAUGGCCGGCACAGCGGGAAGCGAGGCAGUGAUGCCGAGCGGAUCCCUUAAAGCCGGUCUCAGUUCGGAUUGAAGUCUGCAACUCGACUUCAUGAAGCUGGAAUCGCUAGUAAUCGCAGAUCAGCCAAGCUGCGGUGAAUACGUUCCCGGGCCUU
rnacentral:rRNA from 2 species